CGUGGUCUUCCGGCGUGCCCAGCGUGUAGACCUGCUCCGUGCCAGGGUCUUAGCGCGGAUGAGCGUCGCCUAGUCUGCGGGGGCUCUUUGCUUCCCGCACCGCGCCACGACGAGGUAGCCAGUACCUCCUUACAGUGGCUGCCUGGCUCUGCUAGACAAGCUGACUGUGAAUUAGGGAAGGCUGAGAGAAGCUGAGGAGAAGGGCGAUCCUGUAGGAGGACCAGCAGUCUCAAUUAAUAUGGACCACCGAGAUCUCUCAAACACUGAUCAGGCAGCAUACACCAGCUGAUAUGAUGCCCCCAACACACAUACAGUAGAGGACUGCCAGGUCUGUGUUCAUUAAGAGAUAAUGCACCUAACCCUCAAGGGACUGGAGGCCCCAGGGAGUUUAGAUGUCAGGUGGAGAGUGGGGUGGAGAGGAGGUAUGGGAUGUGGAGCAGUUGGAGUGUGAAUGGUGGGUGGGAAUAAAAUAUGGAAUGUAAAAAAAUUGAUUAAUUAAAAUAAAAAUAAUAUG
ensembl:processed_transcript